AGUGAACGCUGGCGGUAGGCCUAACACAUGCAAGUCGAACGGCAGCACAGUAAGAGCUUGCUCUUACGGGUGGCGAGUGGCGGACGGGUGAGGAAUACAUCGGAAUCUACUUUUUCGUGGGGGAUAACGUAGGGAAACUUACGCUAAUACCGCAUACGACCUACGGGUGAAAGCAGGGGAUCUUCGGACCUUGCGCGAUUGAAUGAGCCGAUGUCGGAUUAGCUAGUUGGCGGGGUAAAGGCCCACCAAGGCGAAGAUCCGUAGCUGGUCUGAGAGGAUGAUCAGCCACACGGGAACUGAGACACGGUCCAGACUCCUACGGGAGGCAGCAGUGGGGAAUAUUGGACAAUGGGCGCAAGCCUGAUCCAGCCAUACCGCGUGGGUGAAGAAGGCCUUCGGGUUGUAAAGCCCUUUUGUUGGGAAAGAAAAGCAGCAGGUUAAUACCCCGCUGUUCUGACGGUACCCAAAGAAUAAGCACCGGCUAACUUCGUG
rnacentral:rRNA from 1 species